UACGUAGGAGACGAGCGUUGUCCGGAUUUAUUGGGCGUAAAGAGCGUGUAGGCGGUUUGGUAGGUCCGUUGUGAAAACUCGAGGCUCAACCUCGAGACGCCGAUGGAAACCAUCAGACUAGAGUCCGGAAGAGGAGAGUGGAAUUCCUGGUGUAGCGGUGAAAUGCGCAGAUAUCAGGAAGAACACCCGUGGCUAAGGCGGCUCUCUAGUACGGUACUGACGCUGAGACGCGAAAGCGUGGGGAGCGAACAGG
rnacentral:rRNA from 1 species